ACAGAUUUAUACGAGUAAUAAUUCUAUUACUACUACCAUCCUAGCUUCCACCAUUAAACGCGACGUCACCGCCGUCGCCCGUCGGUCUCACCACCAACAUCACUUCCACCAUUACAAGGAAUCUCUGUAACCUCCAUCUUCAUUUACUCGUCACUACUUGGACAAUUAUUCGCAAAAGGCCAAAUGGUGAUUUAGAACGACACGGAUGUUUGGUCCUAGCUUUAACCAAUGUGGCUUUGCAUUUUAUUGGUGAGAAAGGAUUCAUAGCAGCUUGAUUCUUAGCAGCAUCACCGAUGAAACGUCCAUUAUCUGUAAACGCCACAUAAGACGGCGUCGUUCUGUUCCCUUGAUCAUUAGCUAUGAUCUCAACCCUAUCAUGUUGCCAUACUGCCACGCACGAGUACGUAGUACCAAGAUCGAUUCCAAUCGCAGGUCCAACACGUUUUAUUGGCGCCAUGUCGUAUAGUCAAAUAAGCGAAGACAAGGAGUAGAAGAACAGAAUAUAUAUCCUUAUGUAUGGAGGGGAUUGUUAUGAGAUUGAGAAUAUGAGGGAUUUUAUUAAUUUGAAUCCAGCUGAAAUGCAAAAUUAAAGAGCAUGUUAAUUGUUUGACUGAUGAAUGAUUCAAAAGUCAAACUUAGUUGCAUGUGAAUCACUGGCAUUUUGGUCUAAGGUUGUAUAAAACUAUUCGUUUACUUGGCCUAUUAUUCUUUCAUUCUGUUUACUUUUAUGAGUUUUAUCAAUCCAUUGACUUUUGGUUGUUA